AUUCACUGGUAAAGGCAAUAUUGACAUAGGAAUAUUCAUGUCACACACUUAGAUUACUUCCUUUUCCUCCAGCAGAAGUGUUAACCUUGGACCUGAUGAUUGUGUCUCCCUCUUUCUGUCUACUUUGUCUGUAUUGUAAGCUUCUUCAUACAGAUUUUUUCAAUAUAGAUUACCAUGCUCUAUUUUUGGCCAAGUUUUUGACUAGGUCUUGUAGGAACUGGUACUCUGUCUUCACUGGUUUUGUUGACGUCACAUGCAGUCUCUUAAAGACAGCCUAAUUGCAGUAUGCUGAUUCAUUAGUUUUUGCUCAUUUUCUGACUCUUUACAAAUUCUUUAUUCAAUAGAUGCUUCCUACAAAGUCCAGCAGCCUUUCAGAUUAUCCUUAUUUAGAAAGGAUCACUGGCAAAUGGCAACAUAACAAAACAAGAAGUGACAGCAAAGCACAGACUUCCACCUUGCUUUCCCCCUUGCUGAACAUCUUUGGGAUCUAUGAAUCACCCUGGUAUAAACCUUGUGAUGUUGUGGAGGUGAUAAGAGCCCAAUUACAUGCAAAACCUAGCAUGAAAUGGUAGCAUACUCAGGGGGCUAGUGCACUCCUUUAAACACUGGGAUUUACUUUUCAACAUCAGCCUCAUGAGCUCUGAAGCCCCUUCCAAUAUGUGGCUAUUGCACCUCUGGGCAGACGUGAGAGGAGGAGAGGAGAAGUUCCCAACAGUGGCAAUCCCUCCUUCCCCUGCUCUCUUUCACCCAGGAACAGCAUGAAAGGACAUUAAUACCUUCAUGAGAUCAGUCCUGGUAAUCCCUUUACCAUCUCCUUUGUGUCCUCCCCAUGACAUUACAUUUGAAGAUGAAAACAAAGUUGGCAGAUAUUCUUUGGAGUCAGUUCUCUCCAUUCGUGAGAUGGAGGGAUAAAGGGUUGAUUAGAUGAUUUAUGGUCAUGUCAAAUAAAAGAUGUUCUCUCUUCA